UGGGGUGUAGCCCAGUGGUAGAGCACUUGCCUUGCACGCAUGAGGCCCUGGGUUUGAUUCCCAGCACCACAG